ensembl:lncRNA PACRG-AS3 PACRG antisense RNA 3
AUUGAGGAGCAGGACAGUCUUCAGGAAGCUUACAGUCUGCUUUGGGUUGUUUCAGGAACACAGUCAUCCCUCAGAAAUGGAUUGGGUGACAAGUGGUCUGCAUGCUGCACACGGGCACUGGAGUGGACAAUUUAUUUGGUAUUGACUUAGUGUGAGGCAUGCCCUAGACCCGAGGAAUAUAAAGGGGACUGGGAGAAAGCCCGGCCUCCCUGGAGCUCUUCACGUGAUGACAGGCGCAGAUCAGCGGACAGGCGCGUAACAGGAGGUGCUAAGUGCGCAGGUGGGGUCACGUGCCGCGUCACAGCAGUGCUGGAGGAGAGUCCUGACUCAUGGCCUGGGAUGCUGGGGUUCCUCCCCAGAGAAGCUCUUUUGGACCUGGGAGAAGGAGUAGGACUUUGAUACACCAUGGAGGUCUCUGAAUGUAACCAAAUUGUUCUCCUCUUAUCAUUCCCAUUCACUGGUGUACUUGUUUGUGGAGCCUGCAGAACUGCCUUUUUCAAGAAUGCUUAAGGCUAAUUUAAAAGGAUGGUGAGGAGAUUCUAUUUUCAACUGGCUGAAGUUCAAUAAGAAUAAAAUAAAACACUGUUGUAGCAAACUCUUUCACAGUGGAAGUUUGGCAAAGCUAAAUCUCAUUCCUUUCGAUGUGCUCCAGUACAGCCAAAAUACUGUUCCAGCAGCUUGGCCUCUAAAUCUGCUUCCCACUGAUGGGAAGAGCUGACAGAAGCUUUAGAGAGGCACAGGGUGAGUUCCUAAAACCAGAGUCAACACACACUCUUCAUCUGUUUUGUGCUUCACUCCCUGCUCAUCUUCCUAAAACACUGAGUUUGGUCAUAUCAUGUCCUACAAGUUGUCAAUGAUUUCCCAUGAUCUUGUCUUCAGGAUAAAGUUCCUUAGUCAAAAGCAAUGAAGACCUGACCUAAUCUGUAAGGCAAAAUCAACACUUUUUAGCCUGGCCUUCCAUGCCCUUCCAUGCCCUUCGAGCCCCCAGAGCACCCAUGGCAGUCCAUCUCUCUCUACUUGUCCAGAGGGACACUCUCUUAGAGCCAGUGGCUCCUACUCACGGUUCCCCGAACACGUCGUGGGAAUGUUUGCCUUCAUACCUUCCCAGAUCAUUUUCCUGAUCUCAGACACCCUCCGUCCUCAUUCAUUCACUCUUCAAUUGUCCAACAAAUAUUUGUUGCUCAUGCAACCUGGAUCACCCACAUAGUUUCAAGACUGCAUCUUCUAAACUAUUUAAAUCCUAUCCAUUCUUCAAGAAAUGUUUCAUGACGCUUCCUUAACUGCUAAGGACCCGCAGAUUCUCUUCCUCUUGGGACUCACACACUGACUCAUCUCCCGAUCUUUUGGUGCUCAGCAAAGUGGAGGCUUCUGUUUUGGACUUAGAGUCAAGACCAUUAAAUAAGACUAUGCUCUAAAAAGUACACCUCCGUGGCCCGGAACGAGUGAAUUAACAUCUAUGAGUUUCCAUUUCCUUGUCUAUAAAAUUGUGAAAUUGCAACUUAAGAUUAGUUCUGAAGAUUAAAUGAGGUAACAUAGGUGAAAAUGCUACAUUUAUGUAAGAAAUUACUCUUUCAUAAGGAUGUCAAUGUUUAAAUACGCAUUUUCUCAAUUUUGUUAAUGAAAUACUUUGAAAUUCUUUUUUCUAAUGAAACCUGCUGAAUGUAAAAGAGACCCGUACUAAAGAAAGAUACCACAUGAAGCACCAAGGGUCUCUUUCUGGAUCUAUCAUGACUCUUGUGACUGUUUCAGCAGCACAGAAAUUAAAGGCGAUUGUUAUUCUGGAGGAAGACAAUGAGUCUCAUCUAUAUCUUGUUUGGGUUGAUUUUGUAAACAGAACAUUCCAAAGAUCAUUCUUGCCUUUUGUUUCCACUGAGAACUAGAAUAAAGUAAAACAAACUAUCAAUUUAAGGAAAGCCUCGAAAUUGUUAGCAAUUUCUUCAGUAACUUUCAUCCAUCAACUGAUUUUAUGAACACAAAUUUGCAGAAAUGGGCAAGAAAAACUACUUAACUCAUUGGUGGGAAGCAGUGGGCUCUCUAAGGAGGGAGAGAUAGCAGUGAUUUCACCACCGGACCGUGGAACACAAAGAGCCUGGAAGAGUCUAUCACUUUCAACUGAAACCGCAAGAAGAACUAAGUAGGUUAAGCCCUAAGAAUGUUCCUAGGUAACCUACUUGAGUUGAAAUUUGACUAAGAAUCCUUACACCCUACCUAAGAGAGGUAACGCUAUUAGGAUCGGAAGUGAUUGGAAGCUUUGUUUCAGAUCUCGUCCAAAAGGGAGAACGGUCAAUGACAAAGCUGCUGUGAAUAGUAUUCUGGGGGCGUGGUGGAACCCCGAUUCACUGCUAUCUCCCGAAUCAGCAACUUGACAGAGCGCGCCUCCCGGGCCUUGGAAGCCUUCCAUUCCGAGCUGGCUGGGUGGGACUCAGGUUUUACGGUAUGCUGGACUUUUUCCCCGUGAGUUAAAACACAUUUAUAGUAACUAAGUGGUUAAUGAUGAGAAAAAACCCCAAACUACUGUACUA